rnacentral:rRNA from 1 species
ACAGCAGUAGCCGCGGGAAAACGUAGGGUGCAAGCGUUAAUCGGAAUUACUGGGCGUAAAGCGUGCGCAGGCGGUUAUAUAAGACAGAUGUGAAAUCCCCGGGCUCAACCUGGGAACUGCAUUUGUGACUGUAUAGCUAGAGUACGGCAGAGGGGGAUGGAAUUCCGCGUGUAGCAGUGAAAUGCGUAGAUAUGCGGAGGAACACCGAUGGCGAAGUCAAUCCCCUGGGCCUGUACUGACGCUCAUGCACGAAAGCGUGGGGAGCAAACAGGAUUAGAUACCCCGGUAGUCCCUGUCUCUUAUAC